GUACAAUAUUCAAAAUACAUGUUAUUGAGAGGCUUUAUGUACAAUAUCCAUGUUACAGGUUAUUGAGAGGCUGUAUAUUCAAUUUUCAUAAAAACAAGUUAUUGAGAGGCUUAGUGUACAACAUGCAUGUUACAGAUUAUUGAGAGGCUUUAUUACAAUAUCUAUAGUACAGGUUAUUGAAAGGAUUAAUGUACAUAUUAAAAGGUUAUUGAGAGGCUUAAUGUACAAUAUCCAUACAGAGGCUUAAAUUAAUGUACAAUGUUCAUAUUACAGAUAGUUGAGAGGCUUGCUUAAUGUACAAUAUUCAUUAUACUGGUUAUUGAGAGGUUUCAUAUGUUUUUGAGUACUUUUUUGUAUUAUAAUUUAUUUUGUAUAACUGAUUAUGUUUUACCAAAGAUUGAUGUGUAAUGGCCAAUGUUGCAGCAUUAUUGAAAUCCAAAGGUGUUUCUAUCAAGUAUUGAAUUUACAUGAUUUGAGGUUGUCUUUUGUGAUAAAAUUUCAUUUUGUUAUAUUUUAUUCUUUUUUAUACCAGAUAAUAAAAAGUUUUAAAAAUAGAA